GGGCGAUUAGCUCAGUUGGCUAGAGCACCGCCUUGACAUGGCGGGGGUCACAGGUUCAAGUCCUGUAUCGCCCACCA
rnacentral:tRNA from 1 species